AUGAAGUUGGAAUCGCUAGUAAUCGCGGAUCAGCAUGCCGCGGUGAAUACGUUCCCGGGCCUUGUACACACCGCCCGUCACACCAUGAGAGUCGGGGACACCCGAAGUCCGUAGUCUAACCGCAAGGGGACGCGGCCGAAGGUGGAUUCGAUAAUUGGGGUGAAGUCGUAACAAGGUAGC
rnacentral:rRNA from 1 species